AUGUGGGGUCCACAUGUCAGCUCUCUUCCUCCUUCUCUUCACUCCUCCUGCCUCUCUUCUUUCCCAGGAGGUCGAUGGAGCGCCGCCCGCCCCUCCUUCCACCUUGUCGGUGUCGGCCAGCCACUCCUCCGCCUCCACCACUGCCCGGAUUUCGCCCGGAUUCCGGCAGAGCACGCGGGGCCUGCGCGUGCUUCGCUCCUGCAGGAGAUGCAACUUGGCUACCGGCGUGCGGAGAGUAGGCGAAGGUGGGGGCGGUCCUGCUGCCGGCGGGGCACGGCGGCGCGGUGCCGGGACGAGCUCAGACGAGGCACGGCGGCGCGGUGCCGGGACGAGCUCAGACGAGGCAUCAAUGGCCGUGGCCAGCGAGCUUCGAGGCGGGAGAAGAAAGGGGGCAUGCGGCGGGUGGCGGGUGGCGGCAGGCGGCGGGUGGCGGCUGGAGUGCGGCGGUCGGCGGUGACCUCACCAGCGAUGAGGGCUACUGGCCGGCGACCCUCAUGGCGGCUGCUGGCGCACGGCCACGGGCGGGAUCUGAUUGCUUUUUUGAAAACUUUGUAG
rnacentral:rRNA from 1 species